rnacentral:lncRNA from 1 species
UAAUAUUUAUAACUUGAUAAAAAUAGAAAUCUGCAAAUCCUACUCAUUUAGAAGUAAAAACUAGAGAGAAAGCCUGAAUACAACUCAUGGAGAGGCUGAUAGAACCACAGUUCCUGAUGCAAUAAUACGAAAUCUCAAAUAGCAACUCGCAACAGUUUUUGCCAAUUACUCGUGGGCGUGCGUCAGACGAAGUCCUAAUCAGAGCGGCCUAGAUAGGAAGAAAAAACAAAAGUAAUCAGCAAUGCAAUUGUGAUUCUGUAAUAAUGAUAAUAUGUAAAAAAUUUCUUUUAUACAGAA